rnacentral:rRNA from 1 species
AUUGAACGCUGGCGGCAUGCUUUACACAUGCAAGUCGAACGGCAGCGCGGUGCAACCUGGCGGCGAGUGGCGAACGGGUGAGUAAUACAUCGGAACGUACCCAGAAGUGGGGGAUAACGUAACGAAAGGUACGCUAAUACCACAUACGUUCUACGGUAGAACGGGGGGGACGUGCUGGCCUCAUGCUUUUGGAGCGGCCGAUGUCUGAUUAGAUAGUUGGUGAGGUAAAGGCUCACCAAGGCGACGAUCAGUAGCUGGUCUGAGAGUACGACCGGCCACACUGGGACUGAGACACGGCCCAGACUACUACGGGAGGCAGCAGUGGGGAAUUUUGGACAAUGGGCGCAAGCAUGAUCCAGCGAUGCCGCGUGAGUGAAGAAGGCGUUCGGGUUGUAAAGCUCUUUUGUCAGGGAAGAAACGGCUGAGGAUAAUACGUUCGGCUAAUGACGGUACCUGAAGAAUAAGCACCGGCUAACUACGUG